AAUAAAUAAUUUUAUUAUAUAUCAAUAGUCAAAGUCGCAUUUUUCUAGUGUUUUAUUGGUUGAGAGCAUAUCACGUGAGAGUGACGAAAUUAGGCUGUCUCCCUCGCAACAGCGCGAGAGGGAGAUAAUACAUUAUCGACCGGCGAAUAACAAAAAAAAUCACGUGCGCCAUCACGUGAAGAUGCGACCUUUGGACAUGCCUAGUACGUAAUUAAAACUUUCGCUUUAAGUAACUGCAGUGUAGCCAGUGUUUAAUAUAACGUUUUAACAAUAAAAUAUUUCAUGUAUUUACGUUCAUU